GCAGAGACAUGAGGACUCCUGCUCUGAUCAUUGGGCUCCUUCUGCUUUGGCAUCCAGGUGCCAGAUGUGACAUCCAGAUGACCCAGUCUCCAUCCUCGCUGUCUGUAUCUCUGGGAGAUAAAGCCACCAUCACUUGCCGAGCAAGUCAGGGAAUUAGUGGUUGGUUAGCAUGGUAUCAACAGAAACCAGGGAAAGCUCCUAAGCUCCUGAUCCACAAGGCAUCCAGCUUGGCAGAUGGGAUCCCAUCGAGGUUCAGUGGCAGUGGGUCUGGGUCAGAUUAUUCUCUUACCAUCAGCAGCCUGGAGUCUGAAGAUAUUGCAACUUAUUACUGUCAACAGUAUGAUAAGUAUCCUCCCACAGUGAUACAAGUCUUAACAUAA